GGGUCAGAGUCUCCUUGGAUAUUGGCAUAUGUGCCUCUAAGGAGCUGCCACAGAGUCCUGGAGGGCAAGUAUGGGGAGUUUUCUCCUCCAGCGUACCGUGCCGAUUCACCCCUAAACUUCUGGUGCAACUGGACAAUCUGGGCAGGCACCAGGCAGCAUAUAGUAAUUUAUAUUCAGGGCUUUGUCUGUGAGGAGGGAUGCAACAGAAAUGAGGACAAAAUCCUAUUUGAAGGUGUUUCUUCACUGGUGGAAAACAGUGUGGUUUAUGCUUGCUGGAAAAAGGAGACACAUGCUUUUGCCACCUUUGCCCAGGCUGUCCAUGUUGUGUUGCUGAAGAGGCACUUGCCAAACCGCAGAGAUGUGCAGUUUAAAGGGAAGUACUACAUCUUCCAAGACCAGGAAGGUGAAUCUUCCUCUAAAGAUGAUGUGAUUUCUGAAUCUCCUGCUCCAAAGCUUCCAAAGGAAGAUAAUGUUUUCCAGUCUGGCUGGGCUGAAAACCUGAGAGAUGCACUGGGCUCUAGAACCACACAUAGCACCAUGAGCCUUGGCAAGACCACAGUGCUAAGCAGUGAAUUGAUGCCAGGAAGAGGGAUCAUGCCCGAUGCUACAGCUAUGGGAAGUCAGAGAUGCUGCAAGGAAGCUCAAGGCAGAGGAACACGUGAGGGCAUUGUCCCCACUGCAGCACAGGAUACCUGGGGGCAGAGUCUCUCUGUGAGCAGGGACAUCACCAUGGGGUUUGGUUAUACCCACAGGCAUUCAAGCAUGCUUUUGGAAACACCUUUGCUUGGUGCCUUGCAGGUAAAGGAGCCUUUUCUGCAGCCAGCAGGUGUGGGUCUGGAGAGCAGGCAGUCUGUCCUGCACCCUACCCUGGGGCUGAAAGAUGUGCAAGACCUACAGUUUACUAUUAAGCCAACAUGCACAAGUUGUGUGGGCUUGGCUGCCCUCUCACAGUCUUUGUUCCCUGACAGAAGAGAAAGUAAAGAGAGCACAGAUACCACCAUGUACCGAGGGGUCAGUGCAGUCAGCUUAGAGAAGGCUGAAAGCCAU
rnacentral:lncRNA from 14 species